UCAGGAGAUUCUGUUGCAUGGAAGGAGGGUGGAGCAGCAAAGGGUGUUGGAAGCCCAUGGACACUUUGAACUCUACUCCAACUGUCUCAUCUUCACUGUGACCUGGACACAGAGCCUCUGAGCCAAGGCCACUCAGCAAUUUCAGAAGCAUCCCAUUUGCUUGGAACAGCCUCAAAGUGGCCUGAAACCCACCUCCACUUUUGAAGUUGAGUAGUGCCAUCCCAAAAUGUUCCCACAUGGCAGAAGAUGUGGUAAGAGGCAUCAAAUUUGCUGUGAGAAGCUGUUGACUGGCCCUGAUGCUGCCUCAACUCCUGGAGUGUGGUUGUGCCAGGACAGAAUCCUUCCUCGUGGCUGGAGAUGUGUUCUGGAUGAAUGUGACAGGGAUCAACCUUGAGAACUUGCGCUUGUGAGACAGGCGCUAGAACCACUGAGCUAAAUCACCGGUCCCAUUAAUUAUCAUAUUGCCAAAUAUAAAAUUGUAAAAGUGAAUAAGAAAAUAAAAUUAAUGUUCCAUGGAAAUAGCUGAAUGACAUAAACUGUUGAUUUAUAAGACAAA